rnacentral:rRNA from 1 species
UACGUAGGGUGCGAGCGUUGCCCGGAUUUAUUGGGCGUAAAGGGCGCGUAGGCGGCCACGCACGUCCGUUGUGAAAUCGCCCGGCUCAACUGGGCGGGGUCAGCGGAUACGGUGUGGCUCGAGCAAGCUAGGGGGCAAUGGAAUUCCCGGUGUAGUGGUGGAAUGCGUAGAUAUCAGGAGGAACACCGGUGGUGUAGACGGCUUUCUGGACCGUAACUGACGCUGAGACACGAAAGCGUGGGUAGCAAACAGG